AAAAUUGUAUUGCAAGAAGAGAGUUGAACGGUGAAUAAAUCUAGAUUGUAUUUGAUGUAGAGUGAAUUACGUGGAGUUUGGUCAGCAGAUAACAAUUAAGUACACUCUGACGCAGGACAGUACAGUGGUGCUCAAACUAUCGAAGACAGCCCACGGACUUUUAGACGACAAUUAGACGAACGACACAGAAAGCGAGUAGAACAGGCAGACAAGUCUACGUGGACGAUUGAGACGGAAGUUAAAGGAGAAGAACAAACUAAAAUUGUGAGUAGAAAUGUUACAAAAAAGAUUAUAUUUGUAAACAAAUGUAAAACAACCCACAAACUUAAAUUUUAAUUAAACUUCCACAGUUUGAUCAUUGACGAAUACAUAGACCGAAAUGUCCGGUACAAAGCCAUCAGAAAAUCGGGCACCAUGUCUUCUUCUUUAUUUUAAAGAAAAUACCCCUCGUGGGUGACGAAUUACAUUAUACAUAAAUAUUUUUACGAGCGCUGACUUACCCCUCUUGACGUUUUGACAGUUUGUCUGUUUGUUUUUCUCCGUUCCUUUCUAAACCGCUGAACAUUAUUCCAUGUCGGAGUUUUCCGCCUGCAGCUGCGCAUCCCGAAAAAUUUGAAUAUUCGUCGGUUCGGUGUUGAAACUGUCCGGAAGUAUUCCUUAUGAUAUCGAUAAUAAAUUGACGGAAGGUUGCCUUUACGCUUUACAGCACCAUUGCAAAGUACGCUCAACAUUAAAGCCAAUAGCUGUGAAUCACUGUGAAAUCACAAAAUGCUUGUGCAAUCGUGAAAUUAUGCGCGAUAUCCGCCCAGAUGUGGAUUCAUCCAAGACCAGAUCAGAGAAUCUAUCGGAUGUCCCCGAUCGGCCGGAGCAGGAGCGAACCGCCUUCAGGUCGCUUGGUCGCCAAGAAGGGCAAACAAACGAUUUAGCACCGGAGACCGUACAACAUACAAGGUACAAUACAUAAUCCGCAUUGAUAUCUUCGGGAAUUGGACAUAUAGGCUGAAGGCAAUUGUCUUGGAAUGCAUGUGGAAAUCUGCUAAGUGUAACAAGUGGCGCAGUAUGGAAAGAUGUUUGGAGUUGUGGCAAGAUUUGUUGCUCUGUGGCACCCAGUUUUCAAACAGUGGCAUCCGUCUUCAAACCGGUUUUUAUUUUCCGAUUUACUGCCCAGAAUAUCGUUGUUCCAAACGAUUGAACCUCGGUACCAGUACCCCAUCAGAACAAAAACCAUCUUGCCCUACUACACCACUGAGUUUGUCGCUGGAAUAUCUACAACCCGAUGCAAAAUUGGACUGUUUUCAUAUAUAUAAUCGGAAAAGUGAGCCAACAGUAUUUAUAAUACGCUAACGCAACGGCGGGGAAAUACCGGUCCACCUGAUGUGAACAACUACAGAAUUCGACGAAUCAACAGUCUUUGGACUUUUUGAUAGGAAGAGCUACAUUCAUGGAACCACAGAUGGCAUAGCCACCCACAUCCCGAGUUGCACUUACAAUCUCCGUGAUGGAGGGCCAAUACCUGAUACCUUCGGAUAAUCAAACGGCUGCCGCUUCAACUGUACUAGGCUCAUCAAUUGUUAAAGCAUUCAGCAAGUUUUACCAGCAGCUACUCCUCUCGGUUGGUGAAUCACCAAUGGUGAUUCUAUGAAACCGGUACAACCAACGUCAAUAAAAUCGUUUCCUUCGGUCAAGUACCGUAACGGAACGAAAUAAGCAACAGGCGGAAGAAAUCUGUAUCUGAGUUAUGGUAAAUUUUUGUAUAGGCAAAUUUUUGUAUUGUAAUCGAGAUUGUAAUAUAUUUUAUUACGAAUAAAUUUGGGUCAU